rnacentral:tRNA from 1 species
GGGGUAUGAAUGUUGUUAUGUAUGGGUCAUCAUACGUUAUAUAAUUUUGAUUUAAGAUAUUUGGGGUUGUGUUGUUGUUUUAGGGUUUAGAGCUAGUCUCGUAGCUCAGCAGGUUAGAGUGCUACACUGAUAAUGUAGAGGUCGGCAGUUCGAGUCUGCCCGGGACUACUUGUGUUGUGAGAUAUGGGGGAUUAGCUCAGCAGGUUAGAGCGCUUGAUUUGCAUUCAAGAGGUCAUCGGUUCGAUUCCGUUAUUCUCCACAUAUAUUUUAGGUUCAUUGACAUUAUGGAUAUUGUAUAGAGAUUAAGGUUUUAUUGUGGUAAAGUGAUUUAUCAUUAUAGGGUUUAGAAUUAGGAUAUUAUAAAAAAGGUUACAAUAAGUUAGUUAAGAGCAAAUGGUGGAUGCCUUGGC